GACCUCGUAGCUCAGUUGGAAGAGCAUUGGGCUAGUAUUCCAAAGGUCGUAGGUUCGAAUCCCGCCGUGGCCA